UACGUAGGUGACAAGCGUGGUCCGGAUUUACUGGGCGUAAAGAGCGCGCAGGCGGUCGAUCAAGUCGAGUGUGAAAGCCCCCGGCUCAACUGGGGAGGGUCAUUCGAUACUGAUCGACUCGAAGGCAGGAGAGGGUAGUGGAAUUCCCGGUGUAGUGGUGAAAUGCGUAGAUAUCGGGAGGAACACCAGUGGCGAAGGCGACUACCUGGCCUGUUCUUGACGCUGAGGCGCGAAAGCUAGGGGAGCAAACGGG
rnacentral:rRNA from 1 species